AGUCCAACGUCUCGUCACUUUGCUCUCGGCAAUAGGCGUUAGGGCAUUCUCCUGCGCUCGGACGCCGCUCGUCACUUUGCUCCAGAUUCGGGGAAAUCUGUUCCCUCUCUCGCCGGCAUUUCUACCGCCCGCCCUCGCUCGAUCGGCGCCCGAUCCUCCGGUGCCCUCGCCUCGCUUCGGAUUCCUCUCCGCCCGCCUCGAUCGUCUCCCCCCUGGAAGGUGCAUCGGGUCGGGCUACGGGGCUUCUUGUCUGAAAAUCGAGCUCGUUGGCUACUUCUUGCGAGAUCAUGAAAGUCUGACCAUAGGUUGAUUACCUGUGAGUUAACAUGGGGUUUGACAACGAAUGCAUUUUGAACAUCCAAUCUCUAGCUGGAGAGUACUUCUGUCCUGUUUGUCGUUUGCUUGUAUACCCAAAUGAAGCUCUUCAGUCGCAGUGUACUCACCUGUACUGUAAACCAUGUCUGGCAUACAUUGCCAGCAGUACUAAGGCUUGCCCUUACGAUGGCUAUCUGGUUACUGAAGCAGAUUCAAAGCCGCUCAUAGAAUCAAAUAAAGCAUUGGCUGAGACUAUCAGCAAAAUACCAGUGCAUUGCCUAUAUCACAGGAGUGGAUGCACAUGGCAAGGUCCACUUUCUGAGUGUGUCACUCAUUGUGCUGGAUGUGCCUUCGGCAAUUCUCCUGUUGUGUGCAACCGGUGUGGAAUUCAGAUUGUGCAUCGCCAAGUCCAGGAACAUGCACAGAGUUGCCCUGGUGUGCAUCCUCAAGUGCAGCCAGCAGAGGGUUCUCAAGAGGCGUCUGGUACAAAUACUACUACUGCUGGCCAGGGCCAGAGUACUAAUCAGGCUGGGACUGCAAGUUCUCAGGCUCCUGAGGCUCAGACUUCUCAAACUGCUACACCUGCAACAUCAGCACAACAAAUUAGCUCAACUUCUCUGGUCCAAGGUGUCGGUCAGGCUGCUACUCUCACUCCAGAGCAAUGGUAUCAGCAUCAACAGCAACAUUAUCAUCAGUAUUAUCAACAGUAUAUAGGAUAUGAUCCAUAUCAACAGCAGUAUCAGCAGUACUAUCCAUAUCAGCAGCCGGCCGUCCAGCAACCCCAGGUGUAUACCCAACCCCAGACCCAACCCCAGACCCAGAGCCAGAGCCAGAGCCAGCCCCAGCCCCAGCCCCAGCUCCAGACCCAGCCCCCGCUCCAGACCCAGCCCCAGCCCCAGCCCCAACCGCAGGUCCAGCCCCAGCCCCAGCCCCAGCCCCAGCCCCAGCCCCAACCCCAACCCCUACCUCAAUCUCAUACACAGCCCAAGGGUCAGCCCCAGGCCCAAAAUCAAGUCCAGCCUCAGGUCUAUGGACAGCUGCAAGUGCAACUACACGCCCAGUCUGCUGCAGUUGCCCAAUCUCAGAAUCUGCAGCAGCAACUUCAACCAAACAUGACAUUGCAAUCACAAGUUCAGGCUCAGGUUCACCCAUCGCAGGCUUUGCUGUAUCCUCAAUCCCAAUCCCAAUCCCAACCACAACCCCAAUAUCCCAUUCUAUCUCAUCCACAGCCACAUGUACAGGUGCCUCAGCAUCAGCAACUGCAAGCGCAGGCACAGUAUCCCCAUCCACAGACUCAACCUCAGGCGCCUCCCCACCUCCAGCUUCAACAGAGACCUGUUGCUCCAGUUCAACAUCAUUUACCAACUCAACCUGUAUCACAGGUACUACCUCCUUCCCAGGCUCACCUGCAUCCUCAGGUCAAUCAGGGGCAGUCUCAAACACAGCAUCCAUCGGGUCAGGCAGUAACUGGCUAUCAGUCUUAUCCACAAACGCAGCCUACCCCGCAAGCUCCCCAGCAGCACAUGAUGAAUGUUCGUCCUCACCAACAGGCUCAGCAGUUUAAUCAAAUGCAGGGUCAGUUUCCUCAACCUCCUCCCCAUAUGAAUCCAGCUUCUCAAGUUGUAGCUCCAAACCAACAGCAACAACCAGCUCUGUUGCCUUCACCUGCUCAAAACUUGAGCAUUCCACCCGGUCAGCAGCAGCAGGGCAUUUACUCCCAUACUCAACAACCAGGACACUCGGUCCCACAACGAGGAGUCAUCCCACCAUUUCAACCGCCGAUGCCUCAACAGUAUCCAACUCAGCAGCCGUCUUCUGGAGGACAACCUGGAUCUGCACAUCAAGGUACUUUUGUUCAGCAGCAGCAGGUGCAGUCGCACUUGCGCCCUCAUGGUCCUCCUCUUCAUCCAUUGCAACCACAGUUCCCAACCCAUCCACAGCCACAGCAGAGUGUUGGGAGGCCAACCUUUCCAAAUCAGGGGAUCCCAUCACAAUUCUACCCACAGUCGGGUGUUCCAGCCCAGGUCAAGUCAAUGCAGGCUAGUUUCAACCACAAUAACUUGGUCAGUUCCCAUAAUCAAGCACAAUUCUCUUUGGAGCAACAGGCUGGGGCAACAAUAUCAAGUGCGGGUGAGCAGCGACCAGAUCUACUGCCUCGAGCAGGUGGUAGAAAGGAUGUAGCGUCAUCUUUGGGAACUGAUUCUAUUGAAAUGAAGAUGGUGAGAUCUGAAAUUGAGGCAAAGCAUCUAGAUGAUGAUCACAAGGCUAUAGGGGAACCUGGUGGGUCUUUUGCAGAUACAUCCACUCAUGAGAUUCUAUCUGAAGCACCGGCAUUAAAUGAUGAAGAGCAUUCUAUAAAGCGGAAGGUGAAGGGAGAGACCACAGAAAAUAUGAUGGAGCCUUCCCAUGGAAAAGGUGCAAUUCUUAUGGGAGAUCAGAAAGACAGUUCUGGUAUUGGCCCCAUGUCAGAGGAGAAUGUGGCACGAGAAGAAAAGGGAAAUGUGGAUAGCUCAUCAAGGAGAAAUUCUCUGGUGCAAGAAACUGGUUUGCAGAAGAACUCCAACUUGGUGCUACAUCGUUCUGGCAGCGAUGGAAAAAUUGUACCACAGUCUGGUCAACAAGAGAGAAACUUGCCUCAGCCUCAUGUUACUACCUUUACUCAUGGGUAUGAUGAUCCUCGGCGUUUCCUUCCUCCUGGAAAUGUUCAGACUGGCGGUAGUUUGCAAGCUUCUCAUCCAAAUCAGGUCGUUGAUCAACGUAGGCAUCAAGCUUCACUGCUUCCUCAUGGAUCGUCCUUUCAACAUAGGCCUUCUGUGCCUCCAAUGUUGCAACAGCCUCCUCUUGGACCUCCACAACACCCACCAAUGCCAGGUCACUCUGUAUCUCAUCAUGGUCCUCCUGGCUUUAGUAAUUUACCACCUGGUCAAGCCCCUAUAGCAUCCUUUGGGAGAGGUCAAGGGCAAUUUGGCCCCCAAUCAGUUCUUCCGCAAGGUAUGUAUAAUCAAGGCCCUCCCGCCUUUGGACCUGCUUCUGGAAUGGCUCAUAAGCAACCUAACAAUGUACUUGAGGCUGAAAACUUUCCAAACCAGAGGCCUGUCUUUAUGGAUGGUAGACAAACUGACAGUAAUCUUCCGAGGAACAUGGAACGUGUAUUUGGACAUCCUUCAGAAAUCCAAUCAAACUUGUCAAGAAUGGGCCAGCCUCCUGGAUUUGACUCUGCGUUGAAGUCCUUGCCUGAUGAACGGUUCAAUCCUCCAUCUAUGGACCCAUCUCGUCGUGGUUUUGACCGUGGAGCUUUUGAAGGAGAUACUAGAGGAUUUCGUGGACCAUAUCAUUCGGAUGCUGAGGCUGUGCAAAAGUAUGGGGGCCGCUUUUCCUCUGGAAGUCCUUUUAAUAAAGAUCCUCUUGACAAAGAAUUUCGUGGAUUUAAUCCUGACAAUGCACCUAAGUACGCAGCUGCCUCAUCAAGGAACUUCCAAUCAUAUGAUCGUACUGGUGUACUUGGUGAAAGAGCAUUAGGUCAUCCCGAUGACAACCCUGCGAGAUUAGGUUCUUCUUUUGGUCGUGAAGGUUUUGAAUCGCUGCCAAGUUACAGUCAACGUCAUAAGGAUGGUUUGACCCAUCGAAGCCCAGGUAGAGAGCAUUCUGGCAUCCCUUCACAUGGAUUUGAAGGCCUUCCAGGUGUUCAACGAAAUCCUCCUGCUGACAAUGGUAGGAGGGAGCCACAUGUAUAUGGUGCUGGCAGUUCUUUCCCAGAAGGUAGGUUUCCAGCUUUGCCAAGCCAUUUUCAUAAGAAUCAUUUUGAGGACACAAGGAAUUUAAGGAUGGGUGAGCAUUUGAGGAAUGGUGGUCUAAGUGGUGAUGAUUUUAUGUCAAGCCAUAUACGCAAAGGUGAUGCUUUUGGUUCUCAUGACCUGCCCAUGCAAAUGCGGAUGGGUGAGCCUGCUGGUUUGGGAGCCUUCCACAGCCAUACUCGUGUAGGAGAACCAGUUGGGCUUGAGUCAAUUCGAGGCAACAGGUUUGGUCAUCCAAGAUUUGGUGAGACUGGAUUCAGAAGCAACUUUCCUCUCCAAGGACUCCCUAAUGAUGGAAAGUAUACAGGUGACAUGGAUUCUUUUGAAAACUCAAGAAAGAGAAAGGCAGCAAGUAUGGGCUGGUGUCGGAUUUGUAAAGUGGAUUGUGAAACAGUUGAAGGUCUGGACCUGCAUUCACAAACAAGGGAGCACCAGAAAAUAGCUAUGGACAUGGUUCGAAGCAUUAAGCAGCAGAAUGCCAAGAAACAGAAAAUAAGUUUCAGUGAUCGAUCCUCAGUCGAUGAUGCUAGCAAGUUGAAGAAUGCCGGUAUUGAGGGUCAAGAAAACAAGCAUUAAAAAGAUCAUCCAAUUCAGGGGAAUAAUUUCAGCUGAAGGUGCUAGCAAGUGGAAAAAUGCUGGUUUUGAGGAUCGAGAGAGCAAGCAUUAAACUUGGCUGUGCGCUGCACUGUUGAUUGCCAUGACCUGUUUUUCUUGGUAUCUAUGACUUAGAAAUCUAGAUCUUUUCAAUUCAACCUGUGUUUUUUGGGAGAAGCUGACAAAGAAAGGCCAAAACUUUGUGGAAAGGUUUACUGCACAUAUUUUGAUGUGUUUUCUUUCUAUGGGCAAUUGUGGACAUGAAAUUCUGCUUCUUCCUUGUGUUUUGGCCAGGUUCGUGUUUUCCCUGAAUUUUGCAAGAUCAUUCUGAUUAUUCUUUUAUAUCAAAUCUAUAUUUGCACUAGCCAUUUCUCUUUAUCAUCAAAGUGUUUUGAUAUUGCUAUGAACAAAUAAAUUUUCAUGCUUAGUGCUAACAUCUUACCAAAUAGCAUGCUUAGUCCAGUAAGAAUGUCUUGUGAUUGAUAAGAACCAUGUUAACUCAUAGAUUUGGUUGUUAUGACAAUUUUGUACUGGAUUGAAGGCUCCUGAGUUUUCUUCAUCAUGAGUUUUCUUCAUCUUGAUGAUUAUUCUACCAUUUAGUUAUUUAGAGGGCUGUUAGAUAAGAGUUGGAUAUGUUAUGAAGCUAGGGGUGCACUUUUAUGUGAUAGUUUAAUCAUAGUGGUAGUGCGCUUUAGAACUUUAGUGGACUUGGCCAAAUACGUGCAAUUACUUCCUGUGGUUUUCAUUCAUUGUUCAGAUGUCUUUUUGGUCAUUCUAAGUAAUUUUAAUUGCCUUUUUACACUACUUGUAUUGGCAUUGUUGUUUUGUGCUUAGGGUGCAAUACCUGCAGCCACCCAUUAAUGCUUAUUUUUGUUGCUUUGGAAGAGUUGCUUCCAUACACGAUCUGGUGAUUUCUGUUAUGGUUAGAACUGAAUGCUUUUAGAAUUUCUGGGUCCAUUCUGACGGGCAAUUAAGCAAAUAUUUGGGCGAGAAUGCAAAUGGCUAGGAAGUUGGAGGCACAUGUCUGGUGCACCUACUAGUUCUUCGGACUUAUUGGACUUUUAUCGAGGGAAACUUGUCAUGGACCACUUUGUUAUCUUGCAUUUUUUCUUUCCUUUACUGCAUUUUAAUUUGUAUUUGACCUUGGUAUGCAUGUAUUGAUUUUUUAUUUUGAUAUCCUUUUACCCAAGCAUUUUCUUGUGGGAAAAUCUGUGGCUUUAGUUGUGGUGCAACUCAACUUCAAGCCUUUUGCCCAUCCUUUUUGAUUUCUACAAGCGAAAAUAGGAAGAUCAUGAACUAAAUUGAGGACUUGAACGAAGGUAUCAGGAUGUAGUUUUUUUUGGGUUUGGUAUUACUGUAUGGUAUACAAGGAUAUCACUUAUAUGCAGUGGACUUGGUCAAUCUCCAUUUGACAGCCCUAGAUAAGCCAUCUAAACAUCAUAUAAAUGUAUAUUAGACAUGGAGGAAUGAUUUGGUUGUGGAGGAAGAGUGCCAGCAUAUCAUGCUGGCUUUGGUUUCCUAAGGCAUUGCGUAGGCAUAGUGUGUGCAAAUUUGGGACUAUCCUUCUUAUCCUGCCUUGAUUUUGGUUGAAUCCUUAUCUUUUGGAUGGUAUUUCCUUAUAAGAAUUUUUGGCCCCUUUCACGUGGAUGGAUGGAAAAUUAGUCUGAAAUACGAAUAAAAUUCUCACACAAUGAUUUCACGUUUUAGCACUCAAUUAUCCUGACACAUGCUAAAAGCAACACCUGAAUUUUCCUUGGUAGGUAGCAUAUUUAACGCAAACAUUAUGCUCUCCUGUUUUUGCCAAGCUAAUGUGAUACGUGAAGGUUUUCUGCCUUUUCAAGGAAUGCUUCGAAAAGUGUCCACAUUGAGCCAAAGCUUUGUACAUCCUUUAUUGUCUGUUACGUUUGGUAUUUCACUCAUGGAGAAUGGCCGUCUUUUCAGUUGUGCCGGGUAGACUAUUGCUCUUUUUCUUUUUUGUUGCAUGUCCUUUUCAGUACUUUGGUGUCAUGUUGUGGAAUGGAUUAUGUCUUUACGCUUUCUAUUGAGCUCGAAAUGUUCUGAGGUUUCCAUCCUGGGGCAAUCUGAGCAUGACCAAACCCAGUCCCCACUGCCAAGGCGGAAGCAGGAAUAAGAAGAUGAUGAGCACUGAGAGAGUGAAAGAAGGAGGAGAAGGAAGAAAAAAUGUGAAUUAGGGAAUAGUGUUACUUUUGUCAAAUCAUUUAUUUCAUUGUUGAACCCUAUGAGCAUGGAAAACGGACAUGCCAAGGAAUAUUAAAAUGUCAAAUGCAUUGAGUUUUAUUCAAGUGUGAAGUGCUCAAAGCUUUUGUACUAUUCGA